UACAGAGGUCUCAAGCGUUGUUCGGAUUCAUUGGGCGUAAAGGGUGCGUAGGCGGCGGGGCAAGUCGGAUGUGAAAUCUCAGGGCUCAACCCUGAAACUGCAUUCGAUACUGCCUUGCUCGAGGACUGGAGAGGAGAUUGGAAUUCACGGUGUAGCAAUGAAAUGCGUAGAUAUCGUGAGGAAGACCAGUGGCGAAGGCGGAUCUCUGGACAGUUCCUGACGCUGAGGCACGAAGGCCAGGGGAGCAAACGGG
rnacentral:rRNA from 1 species